ACCGUGAAUAAUUACAAUAAUAUUAUGAUAUAGUCGAACUAGUAAUAUAAUGUAUUUUAACUAAAGUUUGUCUUUUUUUUUCUUGAACCCUCGUGACAAAGUUUUAAAAGGAUCCGCACUCGGUAGCGUAAAUAAUUGUUCUCGUAUAUCAAAUAAAUACCGUAUCGGAUAUCUUACCCAUCCCUGAUGGUCUGUUUAUUGUAUUU